UUGUGGAGGAGGACGCCGAAGGUGGGGCUAAUGACUGGGGUGAAGUCGUAACAAGGUAGCCGUACCGGAAGGUGCGGCUGGAUCACCUCCUAACAGGGAGACAACAAAAUGUUUAAUAUUAUUAUUUUGUCACCUUAGGUCGAUCGGUAUCUCACGUUCUUAAUUUGUUAAGAAUUUCAUUUCCUAAGUUUUUCUAGGUCACACCCAUUAUUUUUCCUGGGCCAUUAGCUCAGGUGGUUAGAGCGCACCCCUGAUAAGGGUGAGGUCCCUGGUUCAAGUCCAGGAUGGCCCAUAUCUCUAUGUUGGGGGUAUAGCUCAGUUGGUAGAGCGCCUGCUUUGCAAGCAGGAUGUCAGCGGUUCGAGUCCGCUUACCUCCACUGAUUACCACCUCUUCCAUAACCGGUAGAAAGGAAAUGUUUUGAGUUGUGAUCAUUAUUCUGAACGAAUCUAGCUUCCUAAUGAAAUAAUUAAGAUGCUGGACUCAUUGAAUUAAUUUCAUUGUUUUCAGAGAACCUUGACAACUGCAUAGAUUUUUUUUAAAGACAAUAAGCAUCUUUAAUGAUGCAGAUUUAUUAUUUGUGCGAAUGCAUUAAUAACAAUUCUAUUAAGCUGAUGCUUCAAUUUUGAAGUUAUUGGUCAAGCUACAA
rnacentral:misc_RNA from 1 species